AUUAAGAUGUCUGAUAAAAGUAGUAAACUGUAAAUUUGCUUAUGAGUUAAAAUUCUCUUAAUA
rnacentral:tRNA from 1 species